rnacentral:rRNA from 1 species
GAUGAACGCUGGCGGCGUGCCUAAUACAUGCGAGUCGAGCGAACAGAUGAGGAGCUUGCUCCUCUGACGUUAGCGGCGGACGGGUGAGUAACACGUGGAUAACCUACCUAUAAGACUGGGAUAACUUCGGGAAACCGGAGCUAAUACCGGAUAAUAUAUUGAACCGCAUGGUUCAAUAGUGAAAGACGGUCUUGCUGUCACUUAUAGAUGGAUCCGCGCCGCAUUAGCUAGUUGGUAAGGUAACGGCUUACCAAGGCAACGAUGCGUAGCCGACCUGAGAGGGUGAUCGGCCACACUGGAACUGAGACACGGUCCAGACUCCUACGGGAGGCAGCAGUAGGGAAUCUUCCGCAAUGGGCGAAAGCCUGACGGAGCAACGCCGCGUGAGUGAUGAAGGUCUUCGGAUCGUAAAACUCUGUUAUUAGGGAAGAACAAAUGUGUAAGUAACUAUGCACGUCUUGACGGUACCUAAUCAGAAAGCCACGGCUAACUACGUG